UCGUGACUGCAUUGUAGAUGCUAGCUGAAUUUGGGUUAGUGGUGAUGUGCUUGAGGAUGCUCUGCUAGUUAGUAACCGCUCCAUUACAAGUUAUGUUGAAAGAGUUGCUGGUGUUGUUGUUGCAGUAGAGAUGCUAGCUAGCAAAGACAUUGAAAACUAAACUUGGUGUAAAAUGAAGUUAUUUCAAAUGUCAUCAAUGAAAGGACUUUAUAAUAAAG
rnacentral:lncRNA from 1 species